GACGGAGGAUGCAAGUGUUAUCCGGAAUCACUGGGCGUAAAGCGUCUGUAGGUGGUUCGAAAAGUCCAACUGUUAAAAAUUGAGGCUUAACUUCAAAGAUGCCGUGGAAACUUUCAAACUAGAGUAUGGUAGGGGUAGAGGGAAUUUCCAGUGGAGCGGUGAAAUGCGUAGAUAUUGGAAAGACCACCGAUGGCGAAGGCACUCUACUGGGCCAUUACUGACACUGAGAGACGAAAGCUAGGGGAGCAAAUGGG
rnacentral:rRNA from 1 species